AGCCACAAGUGCCACAACACCCGCGGUUAAUGUUACCAUUGGAGCAUCAAACACAACUCAACUGCCGAGCACCACCACCACUAACACAACACCUACGAAUGCGCCACCCACCUCUCAGCAACGUAAUACAGUCAUUAUGGCAUCCACUGCGGCGACUACAGCUAUUCAAGGACGCCCUAUGGCUACAGGAGGAGGGAUAGGUUCAGGAGGCAUCGCCGGUAUCGUGAUCGGAAUGCUUGCAGCUGUUGCUCUGGCAGGUGCUGCGGCGUACAUCUUGAUUCAGAAGAAGCCAUGUGCAAGGGUACGGAGGACGGAGAACCUUAAUCUCAAGACUCGAGCCUAGUAAACACUACCAAGCGCUGAGGCCUGCCCUUCGACAGAUCUUGCAGAAACACCAAAGACUUGAUCAGAUGUCAUUAAGAGGAUUUUGUUAAGUUAACAUGUUCAGUUAAAGUUGAAAUAGAAAAUUGUUAAUGAACAAUUAGAUUAAACAUUCUGGAGUGACCACCCAUAUCUCUGUAACCUUCCUCCCAGAUGAGCUGAUAUGCAUGGUGUUUGAAAAUUGUAGCAGUCAUAAAAAAUAAACAUGACCCCCUGGGGAAUAAUCCUUGUAUGCAUAAAUAUGCAUAAGGUUCCGAGGGCAUGAUUGUGCAUACGUUUUUGAAACAUUUUGCAGAACUCUUGGCACCUUAUGCAUAAUGUAUGAUUAUGCAUGAAACUUGACACCUUAUACACAAUCAUGCAUACCCCUUGGAGUCUUUUGCAUAAUUAUGCAAAACUCAAAGAACCUUAUGAUUAUGCACAAUUAUGCAUGUCAGGAUUAACCCCUAGGAAUAAUUAAUGGCUGGUAAUAAUGUUUUACAUCAGUUUUACAUAAAAUUAUACGUGAUAUCAGCCCAUCUGUGUGUAAGGUCACUGAGAUACGAAGGGCAACUCCAUAAGUAUAAAAUAGACAUCCAGAAUCAAACUGGGGACAUUAUUACUUAGUUAACAAAUAUCUGAUAGCCUAAGAAUAACUUUGAAUAUCUGUUGGUUUAGAA